CGUCGCGUCCCGGGCGGCGGCACGUCGCGAACCUGGUCAGGUCCGGGAGGAAGCAGCCAUAAGCGGCCUCUGCCGGGUGUCCGGGGCGCGUCGUGA
rnacentral:SRP_RNA from 2 species